AUGUUGGUGGAAAUUUUGCUGACUCAAAAUAGCGUUUUGCCCUUCUCGUGGUUUUACAUCUAUUUUUUACUUGGCAACUUUCUAUUUAUUUAUUAUUACUCCUUGUAAUUCUUUCCGCGAAACAUAUCUACAUAUAUGACAUAAAUCUCACACGUUACCCGCACAAGUUUCCUCUUCUCUAGUCCACGCGGCCGCAUCUGGGCGGAGAGACGAAGCUCGGGGGAGGACGGAGAAGGGGAGCGGAGAUGAUCAUCACGGCGGCCCUGGAGGAGUGGAUAGGGCACAUGGCGGCGGGGGACGCGGCGAAGAUGGCCCGCUUCAGAGAGAUCUGCGGGUGGUUUCCCGACAUGGACACGCUCCACGACGCGGCGGCGAUUGGGAUCGCGGCGAUCCGGGCGACGGGGGAGGAGCGGGCGAGGAUGCUUGGAGACGGGGCUGCUCCUAUCGAGAUCCUUCACUGGGCUAUGAUGGAGGCGGAGUCGCCGGAUCCGUGGCAGAGGAGGAGAUGGGCUGCAUAUAGAUCCCGUGUGUCGUCCCCCCCACAUCCAGCGGAGUUUGUGGUGGGGCCGGUCAUGGUGAUCCUUGUACCGGGGCUGGUGGAGCAGGCGAUGCAGGGGAUGGGAGGAAUCGCCGUGCCUCCACCAAGGAGGGGGAGAGGCGUGCGCCCGGUUCAGAUGUCGCGUCGCUCUCCUCGCUUCCCUCGGCGCUCCGCGAGGAUUCGGGUGCUUGCUCGCGGGCCAGGCGGGCAGUAGGAGUCACUCUGGCCGGCACCCCCUUCUGGGUGCUAGCCAGAGAGGAUUUCAAUGAGGAAUCUUCUGCCGUGUUUGGGAAAAUCAAAGGGAGCUGAUGUGGGGAGUGAGGCUUCUAGAGCGAGUAUCAAGUGAAAUUUAUAACGCUUGGAGAAGAUGGAAUCCGAGAGUGAUGAGACUUAUUGGUGGAUAAGUGUGCACAUCUUGCUCUUGAAGAUGGUUCCAUUUCCAUUGUUGUCUUGCUCUGGCUUUAGACUUGAUGUUACUCCGUUUAUGUUUCUACAUGCACUUUUCUUCUCUUUUGGCAGCAAGCCGGUGUUGGUUGCUACCUGAAAUAGAGACUCUAGGAUGUUUAAUAAGGUUUAUUUCUUUUA